rnacentral:rRNA from 1 species
GAUGAACGCUGGCGGCGUGCCUAAUACAUGCAAGUCGAGCGAAUGGAUUAAGAGCUUGCUCUUAUGAAGUUAGCGGCGGACGGGUGAGUAACACGUGGGUAACCUGCACAUAAGACUGGGAUAACUCCGGGAAACCGGGGCUAAUACCGGCUAACAUUUUGAACCGCAUGGUUCGAAAUUGAAAGGCGGCUUCGGCUGUCACUUAUGGAUGGACCCGCGUCGCAUUAGCUAGUUGGUGAGGUAACGGCUCACCAAGGCAACGAUGCGUAGCCGACCUGAGAGGGUGAUCGGCCACACUGGGACUGAGACACGGCCCAGACUCCUACGGGAGGCAGCAGUAGGGAAUCUUCCGCAAUGGACGAAAGUCUGACGGAGCAACGCCGCGUGAGUGAUGAAGGCUUUCGGGUCGUAAAACUCUGUUGUUAGGGAAGAACAAGUGCUAGUUGAAUAAGCUGGCACCUUGACGGUACCUAACCAGAAAGCCACGGCUAACUACGUGCCAGCAGCCGCGGUAA